UACGUAGGGCGCGAGCGUUGUCCGGAAUUAUUGGGCGUAAAGAGCUCGUAGGUGGCUUGUUGCGUCUGCCGUGAAAGCCCGUGGCUUAACUACGGGUCUGCGGUGGAUACGGGCAGGCUAGAGGCUGGUAGGGGCAAGCGGAAUUCCUGGUGUAGCGGUGAAAUGCGUAGAUAUCGGGAGGAACACCAGUGGCGAAGGCGGCCUUCUGGGCCUGUCCUGACGCUGAGGCGCGAAAGCGUGGGGAGCGAACCGG
rnacentral:rRNA from 1 species